AGCGUUGCACAGUGGCGGUAUCGUAGCCAAUGAGGUUUAUCCGAGGCGCAAUGAUUGCUAAGUGAAAACUUUUCCCAAUGCCCCGCCGUGACGACCUGCAAUACAGUUGACACUGGCUAUUUUUGACAGUCUCUACGAAGG
ensembl:snRNA U4 U4 spliceosomal RNA